UAGGGAAUCUUCCACAAUGGACGCAAGUCUGAUGGAGCAACGCCGCGUGAGUGAAGAAGGUUUUCGGAUCGUAAAGCUCUGUCGUUGGUGAAGAAGGAUAGAGGCAGUAACUGGUCUUUAUUUGACGGUAAUCAACCAGAAAGUCACGGCUAACUACGUGCCAGCAGCCGCGGUAAUACGUAGGUGGCAAGCGUUGUCCGGAUUUAUUGGGCGUAAAGCGAGCGCAGGCGGAAUGCUAAGUCUGAUGUGAAAGCCCCCGGCUCAACCGUGGAACUGCAUCGGAAACUGUCAUUCUUGAGUGCAGAAGAGGAGAGUGGAAUUCCAUGUGUAGCGGUGGAAUGCGUAGAUAUAUGGAAGAACACCAGUGGCGAAGGCGGCUCUCUGGUCUGCAACUGACGCUGAUGCUCGAAAGCAUGGGUAGCGAACAGG
rnacentral:rRNA from 1 species